UACGUAGGUGACAAGCGUUGUCCGGAUUUACUGGGCGUAAAGAGCGCGCAGGCGGUCGUUCAAGUUGAGUGUGAAAGCCCCCGGCUCAACUGGGGAGGGUCACUCGAUACUGAUCGACUUGAAGGCAGGAGAGGGAAGCGGAAUUCCCGGUGUAGUGGUGAAAUGCGUAGAUAUCGGGAGGAACACCAGUGGCGAAGGCGGCUUCCUGGCCUGUUCUUGACGCUGAGGCGCGAAAGCUAGGGGAGCAAACGGG
rnacentral:rRNA from 1 species